rnacentral:rRNA from 1 species
CCGGAUUUAUUGGGUUUAAAGGGUCCGCAGGCGGGAGAAUAAGUCAGUGGUGAAAUCCUGUCGCUUAACGAUAGAACUGCCAUUGAUACUGUUUUUCUUGAGUAUAGAUGAAGUGGGCGGAAUGUGUCAUGUAGCGGUGAAAUGCAUAGAUAUGACACAGAACACCGAUUGCGAAGGCAGCUCACUAAACUAUAACUGACGCUCAUGGACGAAAGCGUGGGGAGCGAACAGG